rnacentral:tRNA from 1 species
UUUAAGUAUAUCAUUUACAAUGAUAAGAUGUUAUUAAACUUUAUUUAAGUUAAAAUUAUUAAUAUUUUUAUUUUUUAUUGA